UACAGAGGGGGCAAGCGUUGUUCGGAAUUACUGGGCGUAAAGGGCGCGUAGGCGGCCUGUUAAGUCAGACGUGAAAUCCCUCGGCUCAACCGGGGAACUGCGUCUGAUACUGGCGGGCUUGAAUUCGGGAGAGGGAUGCGGAAUUCCAGGUGUAGCGGUGAAAUGCGUAGAUAUCUGGAGGAACACCGGUGGCGAAGGCGGCAUCCUGGACCGACAUUGACGCUGAGGCGCGAAAGCCAGGGGAGCAAACGGG
rnacentral:rRNA from 1 species